rnacentral:misc_RNA from 1 species
GAUGAAGAACGUAGCGAAAUGCGAUAAGUAAUGCGAAUUGCAGAAUUUCCGUGAGUCAUCGAAUCUUUGAACGCACAUUGCGCCCGCCAGUAUUCUGGCGGGCAUGCCUGUUCGAGCGUCAUUUCAACCAUCAAGCCCCCGGCUUGUGUUGGGGACCUGCGGCUGCCGCAGGCCCUGAAAUCCAGUGGCGGGCUCGCCGUAGCACCGAGCGUAGUAGCACACUUCUCGCUCCGGUAGCAGCGGCGGGCGCUUGCCGUAAAACCCCCCCUAAAAUCUCAAGGUUGACCUCGGAUCAGGUAGGAAUACCCGCUGAACUUAAGCAUAUCAAUAAGCGGAGGA